rnacentral:lncRNA from 1 species
GUUCAUCAUGGGGUACGAAAAAUUUCAUAAACAAGUUUGAGUACAUAUGAUCACCAAACAUUUCAAAAUAAAUUGUCAUAAGUUUAUGUAGCAAACAUGCAAAACACUUCCAGAUUGAAACUGGAAAUUAGAUGAUAAAAUGAAAUUAAAAAAAAAAAAAAAAAACUCCUAAAAGGAAACAAUAUUACAACUUCAUGUUGGCAAUAGCUAACUCAAAGUGGAAGAUAUUCGCCUCCUCAUUUGAAAUAAUAAUAAUAAUAAUAAUAAUAAUAAUAUAUGAAGUUCAUUAUUGAUCAUAUGAUAACUAACCAGACAUUAGGGUGGGUAGCAGCUAUAAGAUGAACGGCAAAGCCAUAUAUGCAUUUGGAUGGAGAUAGUUCAUAGUGACCAGGCCCAUAUUCCACCAUUGUUGACAAUUCCUCUUUAGAACAAGAAAGCCACACAUAACGAACAUUGGCGUCCCCCCGAACUCCUUUUGUGAUAUCAGCUUGCUUUUGGAACAACUGCAGUCACAUUUGCAUUAACCUUCUGGAGAUGCGAUAACUCUCGACUAUAUCAGACUCGCUAAUGCCCAAAGAAUUCAUUCUUGUAAGAAACAACUGUUGUGCAGAACCUACAUCCAAUUUU